GGAGGGAUCGCAUAGUGGUCUAGUGCGGGCGCCUGCUAAGUGCUUACCCUGAGAAAUCGGGGUCGGGGGUUCGAAUCCCCCUCCCUCCGCCA
rnacentral:tRNA from 1 species